rnacentral:rRNA from 1 species
UACGUAGGGUGCGAGCGUUGUCCGGAAUUAUUGGGCGUAAAGAGCUCGUAGGCGGUGUGUCGCGUCGGCCGUGAAAACCUGCAGCUUAACUGUGGGCUUGCGGUCGAUACGGGCAUCACUGGAGUUCGGCAGGGGAGACUGGAAUUCCUGGUGUAGCGGUGAAAUGCGCAGAUAUCAGGAGGAACACCGGUGGCGAAGGCGGGUCUCUGGACAGUUCCGUGACCACUGAGGCAACGAAGGCCCAGGGGAGCAAACGGG